rnacentral:rRNA from 1 species
UACGUAGGGUGCGAGCGUUAAUCGGAAUUACUGGGCGUAAAGCGUGCGCAGGCGGUUUUGUAAGCCAGAUGUGAAAUCCCCGGGCUCAACCUGGGAAUGGCAUUUGGGACUGCAAGGCUCGAGUUUGGCAGAGGAGACUGGAAUUCCUGGUGUAGCAGUGAAAUGCGUAGAUAUGUGGAGGAAUACCGAUGGCGAAGGCAGCCCCCUGGGCCUGCACUGACGCUCAUGCACGAAAGCGUGGGGAGCAAACAGG